UACGAAGGGGGCUAGCGUUGUUCGGAAUUACUGGGCGUAAAGCGCACGUAGGCGGAUACUUAAGUUAGGGGUGAAAUCCCGGGGCUCAACCCCGGAACUGCCUUUAAUACUGGGUAUCUCGAGUUCGAGAGAGGUGAGUGGAAUUCCGAGUGUAGAGGUGAAAUUCGUAGAUAUUCGGAGGAACACCAGUGGCGAAGGCGGCUCACUGGCUCGAUACUGACGCUGAUGCACGAAAGCGUGGGGAGCAAACAGG
rnacentral:rRNA from 1 species